CAGGGAUGCUGGUUCCUGUGUGACUG
rnacentral:piRNA from 1 species